AUUGGGGUGGCAGAGCAUGGUAAUAUGCAAAAGGUCUAAGCCCUUUAAACAGGGGUUCAAAUCCUCUCCCCAAUU
rnacentral:tRNA from 1 species